UAGGGAAUCUUCGGCAAUGGACGAAAGUCUGACCGAGCAACGCCGCGUGAGUGAAGAAGGUUUUCGGAUCGUAAAACUCUGUUGUUAGAGAAGAACAAGGACGUUAGUAACUGAACGUCCCCUGACGGUAUCUAACCAGAAAGCCACGGCUAACUACGUGCCAGCAGCCGCGGUAAUACGUAGGUGGCAAGCGUUGUCCGGAUUUAUUGGGCGUAAAGCGAGCGCAGGCGGUUUCUUUAGUCUGAUGUGAAAGCCCCCGGCUCAACCGGGGAGGGUCAUUGGAAACUGGGAGACUUGAGUGCAGAAGAGGAGAGUGGAAUUCCAUGUGUAGCGGUGAAAUGCGUAGAUAUAUGGAGGAACACCAGUGGCGAAGGCGGCUCUCUGGUCUGUAACUGACGCUGAGGCUCGAAAGCGUGGGGAGCAAACAGG
rnacentral:rRNA from 2 species